rnacentral:lncRNA from 1 species
AAGGUCUCAUUUUUCAAGUUGUAGAUCAUAAUGAUAUUUCUAACCAAAAAUAAAUUAGAAGCUGUUGAACGAAGAGGAAAAAAUGGAGGGACAUCUGAAGUAGGAUCGAAAGGAGAAGAUCAAGGAGAUGAUGAAGAUAAAAAUUUUAUUUUGUUUUUGUUUUUGCUUUUAUUAAAUCGAAUUGGCGAUUUACCAGAAAGCAUUUGAAGGUAAAUUCCAAACUUUACUUACCAUUUAAUUCUUAUGUUAUUAAUGACUAUAUAAAUAAAUCAUGUUGUGUUUGCAGGUGGUAAUCCAACCAAUCAAAAACAGGAACUAAUCCUGAUGAGCUCAAAAUUGGUCGCUUUACAACUCGGAUUCUCGGUUGAUGUCUUUGGAGCUCCUAUCUUGUGGUGAUAACGAUGUCACCCACCAUCUUGAUCUAUUUCCCCACCCCCAUGGUCUAUUAUUAAUAUUGCAAGUAUUGUUUGCCACAAGAUGCAUUGUAAAUUAUGAAGCAUAGUGAUGCAUGCUCAUUGUGCAUGAAAAAUCGAGUAAGAAAGAGCUUCGUUAAAGAUCUAAAUUGUUUUGCAGACCAGUCGUUCUGGCCUUUAUUUUAUUUUUUUUUUAAAAAGGAAAGAUAUUUACUGAGUUCGAAUUAUGUUUGUAUUAUUAGAAUUAUUAAAUUUUUAAAUUUUUUUCUGGGGUAUUUUGAGGAAAGGGGUUUCAUGAGGACUUACUGAAAAGUGC